rnacentral:tRNA from 1 species
GCCUCUAUAGCUCAGCGGUUAGAGCAUUGGUUUUGUAAACCAAGGGUCGGGGGUUCGAAUCCCUCUAGAGGCU